CCUACGGGAGGCUGCAGUGGGGAAUAUUGGACAAUGGGGGCAACCCUGAUCCAGCCAUGCCGCGUGUGUGAAGAAGGCCCUCGGGUUGUAAAGCACUUUCAGUGAGGAAGAACGCCUGGUGGUUAAUACCCAUCAGGAAAGACAUCACUCACAGAAGAAGCACCGGCUAACUCCGUGCCAGCAGCCGCGGUAAUACGGAGGGUGCGAGCGUUAAUCGGAAUUACUGGGCGUAAAGCGCGCGUAGGGGGCUUGAUAAGCCGGUUGUGAAAGCCCCGGGCUCAACCUGGGAACGGCAUCCGGAACUGUCAAGCUAGAGUGCAGGAGAGGAAGGUAGAAUUCCCGGUGUAGCGGUGAAAUGCGUAGAGAUCGGGAGGAAUACCAGUGGCGAAGGCGGCCUUCUGGACUGACACUGACACUGAGGUGCGAAAGCGUGGGUAGCAAACAGGAUUAGAUACCCCGGUAGUC
rnacentral:rRNA from 1 species